rnacentral:lncRNA from 1 species
CCUGCCACCUCGUGAAGACAGUGUCUUGCUUCCCCUUUGCCUUCUGCCAUGAUUACAAGUUUCCUGAGGCCUUCCCAGCCACGCUGAGCUGUGGCAGAGAUGAGGAUCAACCAGCAAAUGAGAUUGUGAGAGUGGCGUGUGAGGUAGGAGAAAGAAGAGAAUCGAAUCUAGGAAGGGAUAUGGAUGGAGCUGGAAACCAUUAUCCUCAGCAAACUAAUGCAGGAACAGAAAACCAAACACUGCAUGUUCUCACUUCACCUGCAGGGAUCCUCCCUUGUGGCCCUCUCCCUGCUUGAAGUCCCACCCAAAAGGCUUGGGGACAUAGCAGCAGCUGCCUUGGUACAGAGGAUAGAUACAUUUUGUUUGAUGCCCUCUCUCCAUACUACAAUGCCUGGACCGAGGAAUUCCUCCCAUGUUUUGUUUCUCAGUCCUUCCUUGUCUUUCAUGACCUUGACACUUUUGAAGAAUACAAUUGAGGAUCUCAUCCAGGAUGCCACAUUACAUUUAGUUGUCACAUCUCUUUGGUCUCCACAAUCUCCUUUAGAUUGUGACAAUUGCUUUUACUUUUCUUGUUUUUGA